AACCAGGUGUCAGAUAUAAAAAUCACUGGGAAAGACCGUCAAUACACUUGUCUGUCCUCAGCGCCACGACAUCAUCCACGUCACCAUGAAGUCGUCACGUGUUCUGUUGGUUGUCUUCCUCGCUGUCUGCCUGAUCAGCGCUGUGUCAGCACAGGACGAAGGCAUUGAGCCGCCAGAUGAUCUGAUAGACGACGAGGACCCUCACCGUGACCACUGUCUCGACCCUGACGAAGAUGAACACGACAUCUUCCAUCCAGGUGUCCCUCACGACGAACACUGUCGUAAACUUGGUCACAUUGACUGAACACCCUGAUGCUGAACAAGACCCCUCUACUGGUGUUAUCUCGACUCUUUCAAAAGAUGUCCCACUAAAUCAAAAUGCAUAAUGUCUUAAGACUCUUGUCUUUAAUGUUUCAAAAAGUUGACAUACUAAAUUUAAAAUCUUUAAUUAAAAAAAUUUGAAUGAGCUUUUCUUUUAAUGGGUCGACAGUUACCAAAUUAAAUCAUUAUCAGUAACUAUACACA